rnacentral:rRNA from 1 species
GACGAACGCUGGCGGCGUGCUUAACACAUGCAAGUCGAACGGAAAGGCCCUGCUUUUGUGGGGUGCUCGUGUGGCGAACGGGUGAGUAACACGUGAGUAACCUGCCCUUGACUUUGGGAUAACUUCAGGAAACUGGGGCUAAUACCGGAUAGGAGCUCCUGCUGCAUGGUGGGGGUUGGAAAGUUUCGGCGGUUGGGGAUGGACUCGCGGCUUAUCAGCUUGUUGGUGGGGUAGUGGCUUACCAAGGCUUUGACGGGUAGCCGGCCUGAGAGGGUGACCGGCCACAUUGGGACUGAGAUACGGCCCAGACUCCUACGGGAGGCAGCAGUGGAGAGUAUUGCACAAUGGGCGGAAGCCUGAUGCGGCAACGCCGCGUGCGGAAUGACGGCCUACGGGUGGUGAACCGCUUUCGCCUGUGACGAAGCGUGAGUGACGGUAAUGGGUAAAGAAGCACCGGCUAACUACGUG